rnacentral:other from 1 species
AGCCCCCUGCGGUGUUCGUGGAAGCCGUAAUUCCGUGAACCAAUGUAGAAGAACGGUUGCUGACUACAGAACGCCGGUGUGCUCGCCCCAUGCGGGUGAGCCUGAAGCGGAAGGAAGGUGACCCCCUGAACCUCAGGUUCAGGAUAAACCGGCAAAUACGGCAUCUGCGGGGGACCC